rnacentral:rRNA from 1 species
CCUACGGGUGGCUGCAGUGGGGAAUAUUGGACAAUGGGGGGAACCCUGAUCCAGCCAUGCCGCGUGUGUGAAGGAGGCCCUCGGGUUGUAAAGCACUUUCAGUGAGGAAGAACGCCUGGUGGUUAAUACCCAUCAGGAAAGACAUCACUCACAGAAGAAGCACCGGCUAACUCCGUGCCAGCAGCCGCGGUAAUACGGAGGGUGCGAGCGUUAAUCGGAAUUACUGGGCGUAAAGCGCGCGUAGGUGGCUUGAUAAGCCGGUUGUGAAAGCCCCGGGCUCAACCUGGGAACGGCAUCCGGAACUGUCAAGCUAGAGUGCAGGAGAGGAAGGUAGAAUUCCCGGUGUAGCGGUGAAAUGCGUAGAGAUCGGGAGGAAUACCAGUGGCGAAGGCGGCCUUCUGGACUGACACUGACACUGAGGUGCGAAAGCGUGGGUAGCAAACAGGAUUAGAUACCCCGGUAGUC